rnacentral:rRNA from 1 species
AGCGACUAAGCCAUGCAAGUUUAACGGUUCUUCGGAUCCGUGGCGCACUGCUCCGUAACACGUAGAUAACCUACCCUAGAGGUCGGGGAAACUCCCGGGAAACUGGGCCUAAUCCCCGAUAGGUAAGUUGUACUGGAAUGUCUUCUUACUCAAACCUCCGGGGCCCUAGGAUGGGUCUGCGGCGGAUUAUGGUUGUAGGUGGGGUAACGGCCCACCUAGCCGGUGAUCCGUACCGGACAUGAGAGUGUGAGCCGGGAGAUGGCCACUGAGACAACGGGCCAGGCCCUACGGGGCGCAGCAGGCGCGAAAACUCCGCAAUGCCCGCAAGGGUGACGGGGGUAUCCCGAGUGCUCCCUUAGCCGGAAGCUUUUCCUGAGUGUAAUGAGCUUGGAGAAUAAGG